GGGUUGUGAGGUUAAGCGACUAAGCGUACACGGUGGAUGCCCUGGCAGUCAGAGGCGAUGAAGGACGUGCUAAUCUGCGAUAAGCGUCGGUAAGGUGAUAUGAACCGUUAUAACCGGCGAUUUCCGAAUGGGGAAACCCAGUGUGUUUCGACACACUAUCAUUAACUGAAUCCAUAGGUUAAUGAGGCGAACCGGGGGAACUGAAACAUCUAAGUACCCCGAGGAAAAGAAAUCAACCGAGAUUCCCCCAGUAGCGGCGAGCGAACGGGGAGCAGCCCAGAGCCUGAAUCAGUGUGUGUGUUAGUGGAAGCGUCUGGAAAGGCGCGCGAUACAGGGUGACAGCCCCGUACACAAAAAUGCACAUGCUGUGAGCUCGAUGAGUAGGGCGGGACACGUGGUAUCCUGUCUGAAUAUGGGGGGACCAUCCUCCAAGGCUAAAUACUCCUGACUGACCGAUAGUGAACCAGUACCGUGAGGGAAAGGCGAAAAGAACCCCGGCGAGGGGAGUGAAAAAGAACCUGAAACCGUGUACGUACAAGCAGUGGGAGCACGCUUCGGCGUGUGACUGCGUACCUUUUGUAUAAUGGGUCAGCGACUUAUAUUCUGUAGCAAGGUUAACCGAAUAGGGGAGCCGAAGGGAAACCGAGUCUUAACUGGGCGUUAAGUUGCAGGGUAUAGACCCGAAACCCGGUGAUCUAGCCAUGGGCAGGUUGAAGGUUGGGUAACACUAACUGGAGGACCGAACCGACUAAUGUUGAAAAAUUAGCGGAUGACUUGUGGCUGGGGGUGAAAGGCCAAUCAAACCGGGAGAUAGCUGGUUCUCCCCGAAAGCUAUUUAGGUAGCGCCUCGUGAAUUCAUCUCCGGGGGUAGAGCACUGUUUCGGCAAGGGGGUCAUCCCGACUUACCAACCCGAUGCAAACUGCGAAUACCGGAGAAUGUUAUCACGGGAGACACACGGCGGGUGCUAACGUCCGUCGUGAAGAGGGAAACAACCCAGACCGCCAGCUAAGGUCCCAAAGUCAUGGUUAAGUGGGAAACGAUGUGGGAAGGCCCAGACAGCCAGGAUGUUGGCUUAGAAGCAGCCAUCAUUUAAAGAAAGCGUAAUAGCUCACUGGUCGAGUCGGCCUGCGCGGAAGAUGUAACGGGGCUAAACCAUGCACCGAAGCUGCGGCAGCGACGCUGAUGCGUUGUUGGGUAGGGGAGCGUUCUGUAAGCCUGCGAAGGUGUGCUGUGAGGCAUGCUGGAGGUAUCAGAAGUGCGAAUGCUGACAUAAGUAACGAUAAAGCGGGUGAAAAGCCCGCUCGCCGGAAGACCAAGGGUUCCUGUCCAACGUUAAUCGGGGCAGGGUGAGUCGACCCCUAAGGCGAGGCCGAAAGGCGUAGUCGAUGGGAAACAGGUUAAUAUUCCUGUACUUGGUGUUACUGCGAAGGGGGGACGGAGAAGGCUAUGUUGGCCGGGCGACGGUUGUCCCGGUUUAAGCGUGUAGGCUGGUUUUCCAGGCAAAUCCGGAAAAUCAAGGCUGAGGCGUGAUGACGAGGCACUACGGUGCUGAAGCAACAAAUGCCCUGCUUCCAGGAAAAGCCUCUAAGCAUCAGGUAACAUCAAAUCGUACCCCAAACCGACACAGGUGGUCAGGUAGAGAAUACCAAGGCGCUUGAGAGAACUCGGGUGAAGGAACUAGGCAAAAUGGUGCCGUAACUUCGGGAGAAGGCACGCUGAUAUGUAGGUGAAGCGACUUGCUCGUGGAGCUGAAAUCAGUCGAAGAUACCAGCUGGCUGCAACUGUUUAUUAAAAACACAGCACUGUGCAAACACGAAAGUGGACGUAUACGGUGUGACGCCUGCCCGGUGCCGGAAGGUUAAUUGAUGGGGUCAGCGCAAGCGAAGCUCUUGAUCGAAGCCCCGGUAAACGGCGGCCGUAACUAUAACGGUCCUAAGGUAGCGAAAUUCCUUGUCGGGUAAGUUCCGACCUGCACGAAUGGCGUAAUGAUGGCCAGGCUGUCUCCACCCGAGACUCAGUGAAAUUGAACUCGCUGUGAAGAUGCAGUGUACCCGCGGCAAGACGGAAAGACCCCGUGAACCUUUACUAUAGCUUGACACUGAACAUUGAGCCUUGAUGUGUAGGAUAGGUGGGAGGCUUUGAAGUGUGGACGCCAGUCUGCAUGGAGCCGACCUUGAAAUACCACCCUUUAAUGUUUGAUGUUCUAACGUUGACCCGUAAUCCGGGUUGCGGACAGUGUCUGGUGGGUAGUUUGACUGGGGCGGUCUCCUCCUAAAGAGUAACGGAGGAGCACGAAGGUUGGCUAAUCCUGGUCGGACAUCAGGAGGUUAGUGCAAUGGCAUAAGCCAGCUUGACUGCGAGCGUGACGGCGCGAGCAGGUGCGAAAGCAGGUCAUAGUGAUCCGGUGGUUCUGAAUGGAAGGGCCAUCGCUCAACGGAUAAAAGGUACUCCGGGGAUAACAGGCUGAUACCGCCCAAGAGUUCAUAUCGACGGCGGUGUUUGGCACCUCGAUGUCGGCUCAUCACAUCCUGGGGCUGAAGUAGGUCCCAAGGGUAUGGCUGUUCGCCAUUUAAAGUGGUACGCGAGCUGGGUUUAGAACGUCGUGAGACAGUUCGGUCCCUAUCUGCCGUGGGCGCUGGAGAACUGAGGGGGGCUGCUCCUAGUACGAGAGGACCGGAGUGGACGCAUCACUGGUGUUCGGGUUGUCAUGCCAAUGGCACUGCCCGGUAGCUAAAUGCGGAAGAGAUAAGUGCUGAAAGCAUCUAAGCACGAAACUUGCCCCGAGAUGAGUUCUCCCUGACUCCUUGAGAGUCCUGAAGGAACGUUGAAGACGACGACGUUGAUAGGCCGGGUGUGUAAGCGCAGCGAUGCGUUGAGCUAACCGGUACUAAUGAACCGUGAGGCUUAACCUUACAACGCCGAAGCUGUU
rnacentral:rRNA from 1 species